rnacentral:rRNA from 1 species
CUACGGGAGGCAGCAGCAAGGAAUUUUCGGCGAUGGGCGCAAGCCUGACCGAGCAACGCCGCGUGGAGGAUGACGGCCUUCGGGUUGUAAACUCCUUUUCCAGGGGAUGAUGAUGACCGUACCCUGGGAAUCAGGCUCGGCUAACUCUGUGCCAGCAGCCGCGGUAAUACGUAUGGGGCAAGCGUUGUUCGGAAUUAUUGGGCGUAAAGCGCACGCAGGCGGUGGGGCACGUGGGGUGUGAAAGCGGCCCGCUUAACGGGGCGAGGCCAUCCCAUACGGCCCGACUCGAGAGUGGCAGAGGUUCGUGGAAUUGCCGGUGUAGUGGUGAAAUGCGUAGAGAUCGGCAGGAACACCAAGGGGGAAACCAGCGAACUGGGCCAUAUCUGACGCUCAGGUGCGAAAGCGUGGGGAGCGAACCGGAUUAGAUACCCGUGUAGUCC